GAUGAACGCUGGCGGCGUGCCUAAUACAUGCAAGUCGAGCGAACAGAUAAGGAGCUUGCUCCUUUGACGUUAGCGGCGGACGGGUGAGUAACACGUGGAUAACCUACCUAUAAGACUGGGAUAACUUCGGGAAACCGGAGCUAAUACCGGAUAACAUAUUGAACCGCAUGGUUCAAUAGUGAAAGGCAGCUUUGCUGUCACUUAUAGAUGGAUCCGCGCCGUAUUAGCUAGUUGGUAAGGUAACGGCUUACCAAGGCAACGAUACGUAGCCGACCUGAGAGGGUGAUCGGCCACACUGGAACUAAGACACGGUCCAGACUCCUACGGGAGGCAGCAGUAGGGAAUCUUCCGCAAUGGGCGAAAGCCUGACGGAGCAACGCCGCGUGAGUGAUGAAGGUCUUCGGAUCGUAAAACUCUGUUAUCAGGGAAGAACAAAUGUGUAAGUAACUGUGCACAUCUUGACGGUACCUGAUCAGAAAGCCACGGCUAACUACGUG
rnacentral:rRNA from 1 species